rnacentral:rRNA from 1 species
GGGUUGUGAGGUUAAGCGACUAAGCGUACACGGUGGAUGCCCUGGCAGUCAGAGGCGAUGAAGGACGUGCUAAUCUGCGAUAAGCGUCGGUAAGGUGAUAUGAACCGUUAUAACCGGCGAUUUCCGAAUGGGGAAACCCAGUGUGUUUCGACACACUAUCAUUAACUGAAUCCAUAGGUUAAUGAGGCGAACCGGGGGAACUGAAACAUCUAAGUACCCCGAGGAAAAGAAAUCAACCGAGAUUCCCCCAGUAGCGGCGAGCGAACGGGGAGCAGCCCAGAGCCUGAAUCAGUGUGUGUGUUAGUGGAAGCGUCUGGAAAGGCGCGCGAUACAGGGUGACAGCCCCGUACACAAAAAUGCACAUGCUGUGAGCUCGAUGAGUAGGGCGGGACACGUGGUAUCCUGUCUGAAUAUGGGGGGACCAUCCUCCAAGGCUAAAUACUCCUGACUGACCGAUAGUGAACCAGUACCGUGAGGGAAAGGCGAAAAGAACCCCGGCGAGGGGAGUGAAAAAGAACCUGAAACCGUGUACGUACAAGCAGUGGGAGCCUCUUUAUGGGGUGACUGCGUACCUUUUGUAUAAUGGGUCAGCGACUUAUAUUCUGUAGCAAGGUUAACCGAAUAGGGGAGCCGAAGGGAAACCGAGUCUUAACUGGGCGUUAAGUUGCAGGGUAUAGACCCGAAACCCGGUGAUCUAGCCAUGGGCAGGUUGAAGGUUGGGUAACACUAACUGGAGGACCGAACCGACUAAUGUUGAAAAAUUAGCGGAUGACUUGUGGCUGGGGGUGAAAGGCCAAUCAAACCGGGAGAUAGCUGGUUCUCCCCGAAAGCUAUUUAGGUAGCGCCUCGUGAAUUCAUCUCCGGGGGUAGAGCACUGUUUCGGCAAGGGGGUCAUCCCGACUUACCAACCCGAUGCAAACUGCGAAUACCGGAGAAUGUUAUCACGGGAGACACACGGCGGGUGCUAACGUCCGUCGUGAAGAGGGAAACAACCCAGACCGCCAGCUAAGGUCCCAAAGUCAUGGUUAAGUGGGAAACGAUGUGGGAAGGCCCAGACAGCCAGGAUGUUGGCUUAGAAGCAGCCAUCAUUUAAAGAAAGCGUAAUAGCUCACUGGUCGAGUCGGCCUGCGCGGAAGAUGUAACGGGGCUAAACCAUGCACCGAAGCUGCGGCAGCGACGCUUAUGCGUUGUUGGGUAGGGGAGCGUUCUGUAAGCCUGUGAAGGUGUGCUGUGAGGCAUGCUGGAGGUAUCAGAAGUGCGAAUGCUGACAUAAGUAACGAUAAAGCGGGUGAAAAGCCCGCUCGCCGGAAGACCAAGGGUUCCUGUCCAACGUUAAUCGGGGCAGGGUGAGUCGACCCCUAAGGCGAGGCCGAAAGGCGUAGUCGAUGGGAAACAGGUUAAUAUUCCUGUACUUGGUGUUACUGCGAAGGGGGGACGGAGAAGGCUAUGUUGGCCGGGCGACGGUUGUCCCGGUUUAAGCGUGUAGGCUGGUUUUCCAGGCAAAUCCGGAAAAUCAAGGCUGAGGCGUGAUGACGAGGCACUACGGUGCUGAAGCAACAAAUGCCCUGCUUCCAGGAAAAGCCUCUAAGCAUCAGGUAACAUCAAAUCGUACCCCAAACCGACACAGGUGGUCAGGUAGAGAAUACCAAGGCGCUUGAGAGAACUCGGGUGAAGGAACUAGGCAAAAUGGUGCCGUAACUUCGGGAGAAGGCACGCUGAUAUGUAGGUGAGGUCCCUCGCGGAUGGAGCUGAAAUCAGUCGAAGAUACCAGCUGGCUGCAACUGUUUAUUAAAAACACAGCACUGUGCAAACACGAAAGUGGACGUAUACGGUGUGACGCCUGCCCGGUGCCGGAAGGUUAAUUGAUGGGGUUAGCGGUAACGCGAAGCUCUUGAUCGAAGCCCCGGUAAACGGCGGCCGUAACUAUAACGGUCCUAAGGUAGCGAAAUUCCUUGUCGGGUAAGUUCCGACCUGCACGAAUGGCGUAAUGAUGGCCAGGCUGUCUCCACCCGAGACUCAGUGAAAUUGAACUCGCUGUGAAGAUGCAGUGUACCCGCGGCAAGACGGAAAGACCCCGUGAACCUUUACUAUAGCUUGACACUGAACAUUGAGCCUUGAUGUGUAGGAUAGGUGGGAGGCUUUGAAGUGUGGACGCCAGUCUGCAUGGAGCCGACCUUGAAAUACCACCCUUUAAUGUUUGAUGUUCUAACGUUGACCCGUAAUCCGGGUUGCGGACAGUGUCUGGUGGGUAGUUUGACUGGGGCGGUCUCCUCCUAAAGAGUAACGGAGGAGCACGAAGGUUGGCUAAUCCUGGUCGGACAUCAGGAGGUUAGUGCAAUGGCAUAAGCCAGCUUGACUGCGAGCGUGACGGCGCGAGCAGGUGCGAAAGCAGGUCAUAGUGAUCCGGUGGUUCUGAAUGGAAGGGCCAUCGCUCAACGGAUAAAAGGUACUCCGGGGAUAACAGGCUGAUACCGCCCAAGAGUUCAUAUCGACGGCGGUGUUUGGCACCUCGAUGUCGGCUCAUCACAUCCUGGGGCUGAAGUAGGUCCCAAGGGUAUGGCUGUUCGCCAUUUAAAGUGGUACGCGAGCUGGGUUUAGAACGUCGUGAGACAGUUCGGUCCCUAUCUGCCGUGGGCGCUGGAGAACUGAGGGGGGCUGCUCCUAGUACGAGAGGACCGGAGUGGACGCAUCACUGGUGUUCGGGUUGUCAUGCCAAUGGCACUGCCCGGUAGCUAAAUGCGGAAGAGAUAAGUGCUGAAAGCAUCUAAGCACGAAACUUGCC